GCCCCACUCCCUGCUCUUCGGGGUGAUACUAGCAUUGGCGGCGUCAAUAUUUCCUAGGGAUACUGCAUGCUCAUUAAUUUGGUGUGUAGUGGAAUUAGGAGUUUUACCUUGAGAAAAUUAGAGUGUUCAAAGCAGGCAUUUGCUCGAAUACAUUAGCAUGGAAUAAUAGAAUAGGACUGGUGGUCUUAUUUUGUUGGUUUCUAGGACCGCAGUAAUGAUUAAUAGGGAUAGUUGGGA
rnacentral:rRNA from 1 species